rnacentral:rRNA from 1 species
AGUGGCGGACGGGUGAGUAACGCGUGGGAAACCUGCCCUAUACCGGGGGUAUAACGAGUUGGAAACGACUGCUAAUACCGCAUAAGCGCACGAGAUGGCAUCAUCUAGUGUGAAAAACUCCGGUGGUAUAGGAUGGUCCCGCGUCUGAUUAGCGUAGUUGGUGAGGUAACGGCCCACCAAGGCGACGAUCAGUAGCCGACCUGAGAGGGUGACCGGCCACAUUGGGACUGAGACACGGCCCAAACUCCUACGGGAGGCAGCAGUGGGGAAUAUUGCACAAUGGGCGAAAGCCUGAUGCAGCGAACCGCCGCGUGAGCGAUGAAGUAUUCGGUAUGUAAAGCUCUAUCAGCAGGGAAGAACAAAUGACGGUACCUGACUAAGAAGCUCCGGCUAAAUACGUGCCAGCCGCAGC